rnacentral:SRP_RNA from 1 species
CCGUACUAGAUGGGGGGGUAGCGGUACCCUGUAACCUGCAACCCGCUAUAGCAGGGUCGAAGCCUAUGCUGAGGGGUUAGUCCUUUUGAGGUCUGGCUUAAGUAAGUGGUGUUGACAGUUGGGUCCUACGCAAUCCAGCUUUACGAACCCCGUCAGGUCCGGAAGGAAGCAGCGGUAAGUAAAUGUCUGGAUGUGCCGUAGGGGUGCCUGACUCGAGCUAACUGCUUAAGUAACGCUUGGGAGGCUACCUCGAAGCUAGGCGUACGG